rnacentral:rRNA from 1 species
GACGAACGCUGGCGGCGUGCUUAACACAUGCAAGUCGAACGGAAAGGCCCUGCUUUUGUGGGGUGCUCGAGUGGCGAACGGGUGAGUAACACGUGAGUAACCUGCCCUUGACUUUGGGAUAACUUCAGGAAACUGGGGCUAAUACCGGAUAGGAGCUCCUGCUGCAUGGUGGGGGUUGGAAAGUUUCGGCGGUUGGGGAUGGACUCGCGGGUUAUCAGCUUGUUGGUGGGGUAGUGGCUUACCAAGGCUUUGACGGGUAGCCGGCCUGAGAGGGUGACCGGCCACAUUGGGACUGAGAUACGGCCCAGAGUCCAACGGGAGGCAGCGGUGGGGAAUAUUGCACAAUGGGCGGAAGCCUGAUGCAGCAACGCCGCGUGCGGGAUGACGGCCUUCGGGUUGUAAACCGCUUUCGCCUGUGACGAAGCGUGAGUGACGGUAAUGGGUAAAGAAGCACCGGCUAACUACGUG